UCUUUUUCCACCGGAGCUUGCUCCACCGGAAAAAGAGGAGUGGCGAACGGGUGAGUAACACGUGGGUAACCUGCCCAUCAGAAGGGGAUAACACUUGGAAACAGGUGCUAAUACCGUAUAACAAUCAAAACCGCAUGGUUUUGAUUUGAAAGGCGCUUUCGGGUGUCGCUGAUGGAUGGACCCGCGGUGCAUUAGCUAGUUGGUGAGGUAACGGCUCACCAAGGCCACGAUGCAUAGCCGACCUGAGAGGGUGAUCGGCCACAUUGGGACUGAGACACGGCCCAAACUCCUACGGGAGGCAGCAGUAGGGAAUCUUCGGCAAUGGACGAAAGUCUGACCGAGCAACGCCGCGUGAGUGAAGAAGGUUUUCGGAUCGUAAAACUCUGUUGUUAGAGAAGAACAAGGAUGAGAGUAACUGUUCAUCCCUUGACGGUAUCUAACCAGAAAGCCACGGCUAACUACGUGCCAGCAGCCGCGGUAAUACGUAGGUGGCAAGCGUUGUCCGGAUUUAUUGGGCGUAAAGCGAGCGCAGGCGGUUUCUUAAGUCUGAUGUGAAAGCCCCCGGCUCAACCGGGGAGGGUCAUUGGAAACUGGGAGACUUGAGUGCAGAAGAGGAGAGUGGAAUUCCAUGUGUAGCGGUGAAAUGCGUAGAUAUAUGGAGGAACACCAGUGGCGAAGGCGGCUCUCUGGUCUGUAACUGACGCUGAGGCUCGAAAGCGUGGGGAGCAAACAGGAUUAGAUACCCUGGUAGUCCACGCCGUAAACGAUGAGUGCUAAGUGUUGGAGGGUUUCCGCCCUUCAGUGCUGCAGCUAACGCAUUAAGCACUCCGCCUGGGGAGUACGACCGCAAGGUUGAAACUCAAAGGAAUUGACGGGGGCCCGCACAAGCGGUGGAGCAUGGGGUUUAAUUCGAAGCAACGCGAA
rnacentral:rRNA from 1 species